GUUUGAAGGGAUAUCAACCUUAACCUCAGAUUACUGUUAGGGCAUGGUUCAGGGCUCUAUAGGACUGUGCUGUAUGCCUACACAUUAUGUGGAAUAACUUAAGUUAUGGGAUGUUUAAAGGGAUACCUCCUAUUAACCUCAGAUUACUGUUAGAAUUAGUGCUCUCUAUCAGGAUGGUGACAUAUCCUGUACUGCUGUACACCUGGGGUUAACACCUGGCUAGAUUGUUGGAAAUCUGAUGUGCUCUAUCAGGGCCGUGUAUGGGUUCAUACACUAUACUGCUGAGGAAAGACAUACUGAAACAGCCUCUGUAAAAUAGGAUUUUCAACUCUUCCUGCUUGACCGAAUAUCUCCUUCGACAGUGAGCCAUUGUGGAGAACUGGUUUAGGUUCUACAGGUGAUACUCAAAAAAUUAGAAUACCGUGCAAAAGUUUAUUUCAGUAAUGCAGCGUAAAAGGGGAAACUAUUAUAUGAGAUAGACACAUUACAUGCAAAGCAAGAUAGUUCAAGCCGUGAUUUGUCUUAAGUGCAAUGAUUAUUGCUUACAGCUCAUGAAAACCCUGUAACGGACCGUUUCAGCACACAAGGGGUUAAAACCGUUUAGGCGAUCGUCCCCCCUUCCAGAGAUGCAGGCACAGCUACUGCAGAACACCAAACUCCCGAACAGGAUACCAAGUAGCACUCCAAAUUCCAGAACUGGAACCUCACGAAUAGCUGCUAGCAGCUGAACAGGAAAAGCAUCCAAGCGGUUUAUACUCCUGGCAAUGUCUCUAACAGCAUACAGUAAAUCCCCCCAAGAACGAGACAAAGCUCCGUGUUGAGGGUCAAGCAGUGAACAGGCAGAGCUGUGGGUUUAUUGUUCUUAUGUACACCUUCUUACACAUUAGUACCACCCACAGGGUUUUGGAACACAACCAAUAAACACAUACAAUACAUCAGACACUCCCACACAAAAUCCUCCCCUCUGCCUGUGAUACAGUUAACUUACACAAUGGAUAAUUUAAUUAGCACAAGCAGAGAAAUAAAAUUUUUCCACAUUAUUCAUAACUUGAAAAGUAUGCAUCACAUUCACAUAAUGUGACACAUAAAUUCACAUACUUACAUUUUCAGAAUCAGCAUACUCCAAAUACAAACAUACGUCAAAAUCAUACAAAUUGGUCCAGUGGUUCAAAAGAUAGAUCGUAGUCCUUUGUGACCAAAGGAAGCAUUCAGUAUCUCCUCCCUCUGCAUGCAGACACUGAACUUUCCUCAUUAUUGAUUCAAUUCAUCUCUAUGAGGAGAUGCUGAUUGGCCAGGGCUGUGUUUGAAUUGUGCUGGCUCUGCCCCUGAUCUACCUCUUUGUCAGUCUCAGCCAAUCCUAAGGGGAAGUAUUGUGAUUGGAUCAGGCUACCACUUCUGAUGAUUUCAGCAGAUUGCUUGAUUUUCUGAGUCAAGCAGCAUUCAGAGUUACAGCUUCCAAGGGGGCUAGAUGGUGGCUUUAACAUUAUAGGGUCAGGAAUACAUGUUUGUGUUCCUGACCGUAUAGUGAUCCUUGAAGCUUAUGCUAUCUUUAGUGUACUUAUAAUCUUAAUUUUACUAAUGACAGGAGGCAAGUAUUUUCCCUUCCGACCCUUUCUGUUCGUUUUCUUUGAAUGUAUCACAGGUCUAAGGUUAGGUUUGGCUUUCAUGUUUUGUGUUUACAUUGAUCUGGAAUUGCCAUUGGAGUUUUACAUUUUAGUUAUUCAGUUAUCAGAUUGUAAUUUACAAUUUACUGCUAUGGGAUGAUGUAUACGGUACGUGGAUUUCCGUGUUCAUGACUAUGUGUCUAAACCUGUCGCACAUUCUCUUUUCAGUAUGAUUCGUCACUGAAGACAUUUGGUUGUUCGUGUGAAAUUCUCUGUAAGUUUACUCCUUCAGAUUUUGAUUCGUCCCUGAAAACAUUUUGGCUGUUUGUGUGGACUUCACGAGAAGUUUGCUCCGUCGGAUGUUGGAUUUAGGAGUUAUUAUUGUUAUUAAUUGGUAUAUGUUUACUUCCGUUUGAUGUCGCUUUCUGAAAGAGGAAGUGAUGAGGUCACUAUGCUUUAUGUACAUCCUAUUCUCUUGUGAUUGGUUCUUUUUUUCUAUAUGUUUCUGUGCUGCUGUUUGGAGCUAGUAAAGAG